CCUACGGGUGGCAGCAGUGGUGAAUAUUGGGCAAUGGGCGCAAGCCUGACCCAGCAACGCCGCGUGAAGGAAGACGGCUUUCGGGUUGUAAACUUCUUUUAAGAGGGAAGAGCAGAAGACGGUACCUCUUGAAUAAGCCACGGCUAACUACGUGCCAGCAGCCGCGGUAAUACGUAGGUGGCAAGCGUUAUCCGUAUUUACUGGGUGGAAAGGGAGCGUAGACGGGUCUGCAAGGCUGAAGUGAAAGCCCGUGGCUUAACCGCGGAACGGCUUGGGAAACUGUGGAACUGGAGUGCUGGAGAGGCAAGCGGAAUGCCUAGUGUAGCGGUGAAAUGCGGAGAUAUUAGGAGGAACACCAGUGGCGAAGGCGGCUUGCUGGACAGUAACUGACGUUGAGGCUCGAAAGCGUGGGGAGCAAACAGGAUUAGAUACCCGUGUAGUC
rnacentral:rRNA from 1 species